rnacentral:rRNA from 1 species
CAGUCGCCGCGGUAAUACGUAGGGUGCGAGCGUUAAUCGGAAUUACUGGGCGUAAAGCGUGCGCAGGCGGCUUUGCAAGACAGAUGUGAAAUCCCCGGGCUCAACCUGGGAACUGCAUUUGUGACUGCAUGGCUAGAGUACGGUAGAGGGGGAUGGAAUUCCGCGUGUAGCAGUGAAAUGCGUAGAUAUGCGGAGGAACACCAACGGCGAAAGCACUCUGCUGGGCCGACACUGACACUGAGAGACGAAAGCUAGGGGAGCAAACAGGAUUAGAUACCCCAGUAGUCCCUGUCUCUUAUAC